rnacentral:misc_RNA from 1 species
GAUGAAGAACGUAGCGAAAUGCGAUAAGUAAUGCGAAUUGCAGAAUUUCCGUGAGUCAUCGAAUCUUUGAACGCACAUUCCGCCCGCCAGUAUUCUGGCGGGCAUGCCUGUUCGAGCGUCAUUUCAACCAUCAAGCCCCCGGCUUGUGUUGGGGACCUGCGGCUGCCGCAGGCCCUGAAAACCAGUGGCGGGCUCGCUAGUCACUCCGAGCGUAGUAAUACAUCUCGCUCAGGGCGUGCUGCGGGUUCCGGCCGUUAAAAGCCUUAUUUACCCAAGGUUGACCUCGGAUCAGGUAGGAAGACCCGCUGAACUUAAGCAUAUCAAUAAGCGGAGGA